AUCAAAGUCAUCUAUCCCUAUUUUGAUUGGCUUAAAUACCAUCUACUUGAAUUCCGAUCGGCUUAUAAUUUUGGAGUGCACUUGAGUGGUUUUCAUUCCACUGGCAAUCGCCAUGAAAAUGUUAAAUUCGUAAAUACUUACACGUUCUAUAAAUUCAGGCAUAUAUUCCUCACGAUAAAACCAACCAAGGACUACCCGAGGGCCAUGAUUGAUGCUGAAGGCUGGGAGGCAUUAGAAUAGGCAAAUGUCUUAAAGAUAAUAAAGUAGGGGAUUUCUUACUUUGAUACAGCAGUAAAUGUGAAAUAGGCGUUUUUAAAUCAAAUACUUGCCCUCAAUGAUA